AAAACGACUCUCGGCAACGGAUAUCUCGGCUCUCGCAUCGAUGAAGAACGUAGCGAAAUGCGAUACUUGGUGUGAAUUGCAGAAUCCCGUGAACCAUCGAGUCUUUGAACGCAAGUUGCGCCCCAAGCCUUCUGCCCGAGGGCACGUCURCCUGGGUGUCACGA
rnacentral:rRNA from 1 species